GCAGUUUUGGCCGAGUGGUCAUGGCGAUGGACUAGAAAUCCAUUGGGGUCUCCCUGCGCAGGUUCGAAUCCUGCCAACAACA